GAUGAACGCUGGCGGCGUGCCUAAUACAUGCAAGUCGAGCGAACAGACGAGGAGCUUGCUCCUCUGACGUUAGCGGCGGACGGGUGAGUAACACGUGGAUAACCUACCUAUAAGACUGGGAUAACUUCGGGAAACCGGAGCUAAUACCGGAUAAUAUAUUGAACCGCAUGGUUCAAUAGUGAAAGACGGUUUUGCUGUCACUUAUAGAUGGAUCCGCGCCGCAUUAGCUAGUUGGUAAGGUAACGGCUUACCAAGGCAACGAUGCGUAGCCGACCUGAGAGGGUGAUCGGCCACACUGGAACUGAGACACGGUCCAGACUCCUACGGGAGGCAGCAGUAGGGAAUCUUCCGCAAUGGGCGAAAGCCUGACGGAGCAACGCCGCGUGAGUGAUGAAGGUCUUCGGAUCGUAAAACUCUGUUAUUAGGGAAGAACAAAUGUGUAAGUAACUAUGCACGCCUUGACGGUACCUAAUCAGAAAGCCACGGCUAACUACGG
rnacentral:rRNA from 1 species